GUGACGUGGAGCAAACCUCCAGAAAGCCAAUCUCAGUUCGGAUUGUAGGCUGCAACUCGCCUACAUGAAGUUGGAAUCGCUAGUAAUCGCGAAUCAGAAUGUCGCGGUGAAUACGUUCCCGGGUCUUGUACACACCGCCCGUCACACCACGAGAGUUUACAACACCCGAAGUCAGUGGCCUAACCGCAAGGAGGGAGCUGCCUAAGGUGGGGUAGAUGAUUGGGGUGAAGUCGUAACAAGGUACC
rnacentral:rRNA from 1 species